UACGGAGGAUGCAAGCGUUAUCCGGAAUGAUUGGGCGUAAAGCGUCCGCAGGUGGCUAUGUAAGUCUGCUGUUAAAGAGUGAGGCUCAACCUCAUAAAAGCAGUGGAAACUACACAGCUAGAGUGCGGUAGGGGCAGAGGGAAUUCCUGGUGUAGCGGUGAAAUGCGUAGAGAUCAGGAAGAACACCGGUGGCGAAAAGCGCUCUGCUAGGCCGCAACUGACACUGAGGGACGAAAGCUAGGGGAGCGAAUGGG
rnacentral:rRNA from 1 species